ACGCUGGCGGCAGGCUAACACAUGCGUUGAAGCGUGCCUUCGGGUGAGCCGCGGACGGUAUAGUAACGCGUGGGAACGUGCCCUUCUCUACGGAAUAGCCACUGGAAACGGUGAGUAAUACCGUAUACGCCCUCAGGGGGAAAGAUUUAUCGGAGAAGGAUCAGCCCGCGUUAGAUUAGGUAGUUGGUGGGGUAACGGGCUACCAAGCCUACGAUCUAUAGCUGGUUUUAGAGGAUGAUCAGCCACACUGGGACUGAGGCACGGUCCAGACUCCUACGGGAGGCAGCAGUAGGGAAUCUUGGACAAUGGGGGCAACCCUGAUCCAGCCAUGCCGCGUGAGUGAAGAAGGCCC
rnacentral:rRNA from 1 species